rnacentral:rRNA from 1 species
AUUGAACGCUGGCGGCAUGCCUUACACAUGCAAGUCGAACGGUAACAGGUCUUCGGACGCUGACGAGUGGCGAACGGGUGAGUAAUACAUCGGAACGUGCCCAGUCGUGGGGGAUAACUACUCGAAAGAGUAGCUAAUACCGCAUACGAUCUGAGGAUGAAAGCGGGGGACCUUCGGGCCUCGCGCGAUUGGAGCGGCCGAUGGCAGAUUAGGUAGUUGGUGAGAUAACAGCCCACCAAGCCGACGAUCGGUAGCCGGACUGAGAGGUUGAUCGGCCACAUUGGGACUGAGACACGGCCCAG